AACCACCCGAUCCCAUCCCGAACUCGGAAGUGAAACGCAGCUGCGCCGAUGGUAGUGUGGCUCAAGCCAUGCGAGAGUAGGUCAUCGCCAGGG
rnacentral:rRNA from 2 species